rnacentral:lncRNA from 1 species
UGAUGGGCUAUUCCUGUCCCAGGAGCACAUUCUGCCCCCAACCAUUUAUAAAGUCUAUUAAACUAGAACUCAAGAGGGAAGAGUAGACUCCUGUGCUCCAGAACAUGGGCAUCCCCAGAAAGCCAAGCUGAAGUCUAAAAGAUGCUCCCCACUCAUCAGUCUCCCUGUUCUUUUUGCCUAUGUGUCAUUCCAACUUGCAGAGAAGUAACUGAUGGCAGUAUUAUUAGUAUAUCAAGAAAUGGGAACUGCAGGAUUAUACAAUCAACUGCUGCAGGAAGAAUUUUACACAAUCAACUCACCUUCACCAUUUAUGAUCUUCCAUUUAUUUUAUUUUUUUCUUGUAUUCUCCUUGGAGAACAUCUGAUUGGAUGUUCUCAAUCACCAAAAAGUUGAUGAAAAUUAACAUUAAGAAUAAAAGAAGCCUCACUAACCCAUUUACACAAAUAGCCAAAUUUCACAAACAGACUAAUUAAUUACUGAAAAAUAAAGCGGACAAAUGAAGCAGA